rnacentral:rRNA from 1 species
UACGGAGGGGGCUAGCGUUGUUCGGAAUUAUUGGGCGUAAAGGGCGCGUAGGCGGCCGGACAAGUCGGGUGUGAAAUCCCUCGGCUCAACCGAGGAACUGCAUUCGAUACUGUCUGGCUCGAGUCCGGGAGGGGAUGGUGGAAUUCCCAGUGUAGCGGUGAAAUGCGUAGAUAUUGGGAAGAACACCGGUGGCGAAGGCGACCAUCUGGACCGGAACUGACGCUGAGGCGCGAAGGCCAGGGGAGCGAAUGGG